rnacentral:misc_RNA from 1 species
AAAGUCGUAACAAGGUCUCCGUUGGUGAACCAGCGGAGGGAUCAUUACCGAGUUUGCUUUUCUAGCUCGAAACCCACUGUGAACAUACCUCUCUACUCGUUGCUUCGGCGGCAGCUCCUUCCGCUGCCCUCUCUCCCUGCCUCCUCUCCGCGCCCCUCUCUCGAGGGUCCUGGGGAUGGGGAGGAAAAGAGGUCUCCCGGGAGGUUCGACCGUCGGAGGGACGCAACCCCCAAACUCUUAUAAACUACUUCUCGAGUAUCUUCUGAGUCGAUAUUUUUUAAAAUUAUCAAAACUUUCAGCAACGGAUCUCUUGGUUCUG